UAGGAGUGCUAUAUAAAUAAAAAUGUUGGCUUACUUAAAAAGUUUAGUUGGAGCAGAAGAGAAAAUUAUGGAGAUUAUGAAGAGAAGAGUAAAGAGGAGGAAGCAAUUAAAGAGUUUGAGAAGAACAAUUUUCUACACUUAAGAAUAUCUACUAUCUGGAAGGCGAGCUCAAUUUGAGACAAGAAUAUUUUAUAUAAAUAUCAAAGGACACCAGUAAAGACAGAAAAUGGCACAAAUGAGAAGGGUAAUUCGGAAGCAUAUAACAGCAAAAAUCAAGGGCAAAGCGUGAGGCUGUGGCACGAAGGGUGCGAAGACUUGUUCCCGUAACGAGAAUGUUUUAGGAUUAUAAUAAUGGUAGAUUGUACUUUUGAACUUAUCAUUGUAAUGUUAUAAUAGACUGCGUGGAAGUGUAAGAUCGACCCUGGACUUGUGGGGCGAGCUAUGUAUUGGAAGUCAGGUAUGCUAUAAUAA